GACGAACGCUGGCGGCGUGCUUAACACAUGCAAGUCGAACGGAAAGUCCCUGCUUUUGGGGGGUGCUCGCGUGGCGAACGGGUGAGUAACCCGUGAGUAACCUGCCCUUUACUUUGGGAUAACUUCAGGAAACUGGGGCUAAUACCGGAUAGGAGCUCCUGCUGCAUGGUGUGGGUUGGAAAGUUUCGGUGGUUGGGGAUGGACUCGCGGCGUAUCAGCGUGUUGGUGGGGUAGUGGAUUAUCAAGGCGUUGACGGGUAGCCGGCCUGAGAGGGUGACCGGCCCCAUAGGGACUGAGGUACGGCCCAGACUCCUACGGGAGGCAGCAGUGGAGAAUAUUGCGCAAUGCGCGGAGGCCUGAUGCAGCAACGCCGCGUGCGAGAUGACGGCCGUCGGGUUGUAAACCGCUUUAGCCUGUGACGAAGCGUGAGUGACGGUAAUGAGUAAAGAAGCACCGGCUAACUACGUG
rnacentral:rRNA from 1 species